AUUGAACGCUGGCGGCAGGCCUAACACAUGCAAGUCGAGCGAGCGGCGGACGGGUGAGUAAUGCCUGGGAAUUGCCCAGUCGAGGGGGAUAACAGUUGGAAACGACUGCUAAUACCGCAUACGAUUGGCUUGCCCAGGUGGGAGUAGCUCGUUGGUGAGGUAAUGGCGCACCAAGGCGACGAUCCCUAGCUGGUCUGCGAGGAGGAUCAGCCACUAUGGAAGUGAGACACGGUCCACACGCCUCAGGGCGGCCGCAGUGGGGAAAAUUGGACAAUGGGGGAAUCCCUGAUGCAGCCAUGCCGCGUGUGUGAAGAAGGCCUUCGGGUUGUAAAGCACUUUCAGAGAGGAGGCGUUACUCGCAGAAGAAGCACCGGCUGACUCCGUGCCAGCAGCCGCGGUAAUUC
rnacentral:rRNA from 1 species